AGUGAACGCUGGCGGUAGGCCUAACACAUUCAAGUCGAACGGCAGCACAGUAAGAGCUUGCUCUUACGGGUGGCGAGUGGCGGACGGGUGAGGAAUACAUCGGAAUCUACUUUUUCGUGGGGGAUAACGUAGGGAAACUUACGCUAAUACCGCAUACGACCUACGGGUGAAAGCAGGGGAUCUUCGGACCUUGCGCGAUUGAAUGAGCCGAUGUCGGAUUAGCUAGUUGGCGGGGUAAAGGCCCACCAAGGCGACGAUCCGUAGCUGGUCUGAGAGGAUGAUCAGCCACACUGGAACUGAGACACGGUCCAGACUCCUACGGGAGGCAGCAGUGGGGAAUAUUGGACAAUGGGCGCAAGCCUGAUCCAGCCAUACCGCGUGGGUGAAGAAGGCCUUCGGGUUGUAAAGCCCUUUUGUUGGGAAAGAAGAGCAGCAGGUUAAUACCCCGCUGUUCUGACGGUACCCAAAGAAUAAGCACCGGCUAACUUCGUG
rnacentral:rRNA from 1 species